rnacentral:rRNA from 1 species
UACGGAGGGAGCUAGCGUUGCUCGGAAUUACUGGGCGUAAAGCGCACGUAGGCGGCUUUGUAAGUUAGAGGUGAAAGCCCGGGGCUCAACUCCGGAACUGCCUUUAAGACUGCAUCGCUUGAAUCCGGGAGAGGUGAGUGGAAUUCCGAGUGUAGAGGUGAAAUUCGUAGAUAUUCGGAAGAACACCAGUGGCGAAGGCGGCUCACUGGACCGGUAUUGACGCUGAGGUGCGAAAGCGUGGGGAGCAAACAGG